rnacentral:misc_RNA from 1 species
GCCCCACCAGCCUAAAUGAUAUCAAGGGCCUAGUAAUUUAUAAUUUUUAUAUUACCCUAGAAAAUACAACCAGUCAAGAUUCCUAGUGCCUACAUGCAUCCUAUACAUUACAGGCUAGAAAAGAGAGAGUGGUACAUUACAGAUUUCAUGAGUAUCAUAUCAUUUAUUUUGAUAGUUUUGGUCAUACUAUGAUUCAAUAUCAAUUUUUUAAACUAUGUAUUACAAAAAAUUAUGCCACCCAUAAUGUUGAUCACGCAAACUAACAACAAUAAAUUUGCAACAAUAUAACUUACCAUGCCAUAAUCGGUGACAAUCAU